rnacentral:rRNA from 1 species
CCUACGGGUGGCUGCAGUGGGGAAUAUUGGACAAUGGGGGCAACCCUGAUCCAGCCAUGCCGCGUGUGUGAAGAAGGCCCUCGGGUUGUAAAGCACUUUCAGUGAGGAAGAACGCCUGGUGGUUAAUACCCAUCAGGAAAGACAUCACUCACAGAAGAAGCACCGGCUAACUCCGUGCCAGCAGCCGCGGUAAUACGGAGGGUGCGAGCGUUAAUCGGAAUUACUGGGCGUAAAGCGCGCGUAGGUGGCUUGAUAAGUCGGUUGUGAAAGCCCCGGGCUCAACCUGGGAACGGCAUCCGGAACUGUCAAGCUAGAGUGCAGGAGAGGAAGGUAGAAUUCCCGGUGUAGCGGUGAAAUGCGUAGAGAUCGGGAGGAAUACCAGUGGCGAAGGCGGCCUUCUGGACUGACACUGACACUGAGGUGCGAAAGCGUGGGUAGCAAACAGGAUUAGAUACCCUUGUAGUC